AUGGAAGCUGUAGGGGUAGAAUCAAAAGGCUCACACGGCGACGCCGCCGAUCCCGUGUCCAAGAAGGAUCAUCGGACCUCUUGGGGCUGCGCUUUCAUCCUCGUGAACAACUGCUUUCAAUCCGCGGCCUACUUUGGCCUGUCGACGAACCUGGUGAACUACCUCAAGGUCCAGCUGCACUCCGGCAGCAAGGCCGCGGCCAACAGCGUCACCAACUGGCAGGGCACCAGCGGCAUCGCGCCGCUCGCCGCCGCCUUCCUCGCCAACUCCUUCCUCCGCAGAUACUGGACCAUCACGCUCUUCCUCCUCGUCUCCGUCGCGGGGUACGGCGUCGUGACGGCGAGUGCGUGGGCGGCGCUGGAGAGCGCGGUGUUCUACGCGGGGCUGUACCUGGUGGGGCUGGGCGGCGCGCUGCAGCCCGUCAUGGCGUCGUUCGGCGCGGACCAGUUUGACGUGGAGUCCGACGACGACGAGGAGCGCGGGCGGCAGAGCUCCUUCUUCAACUGGUUCUACCUCUCCCUGACCGUGGGAUCGCUGGUCGGCGGCACCGUGCUGGUGUGGGUGCAGUCCGCCCACGGCUGGCGGCUCGGCUACGGCAUCCCGGCGCUGCUGAGCGUGGUCGCCGUCGCUCUGUUCCUCGCCGGCACCGGCGCGUACGGGCGCCACCAGCCCCCCGGCGGCAGCCCGCUCACCAGGAUCGCGCAGGUGGUGGUCGCCGCCGCCAGGAAGUGCGACGUGGAGACCCCAACCGACGCCGCGCUGCUGCACGAGCGUGACGGCGACGACGGCAUGUCCGCUAUACUGGGGAGCCGCCGCCUUGCGCACACCAACCAGUUCAGGUUCUUGGACAAGGCGGCCGUGGAGACGGCAGGCGACAAGGCACGGCCAGCGAGCCCAUGGCGGCUGUGCACGGUUACGCAGGUGGAGGAGCUCAAGUGCCUGCUCCGUCUGCUACCGGUGUGGGCGUGCGGCAUCAUCUUCGCGGCCGCCUACACUCAGGUGUGCACCACCUUCAUCCUCCAGGGAGACACACUGGACCCGCGCAUCGGCAGCUUUCGCGUCCCGGCUGCAGUGCUAACCGUCUUCGACACACCCAGCGUCAUGCUCUGGGUGCCGCUUUACGACCGUGCCAUCGUUCCGCUCGCGCGCCGCCUCACAAGUCACCACCGCGGGUUCACGCAGCUGACACGCAUGGGUGUCGGGUUCGUCAUCCUCACGGUCGCCAUGCUCACCGCCGGCAUGCUUGAGGUCGCACGGCGUCGCGUCCUCGCGCGCAACGGCACAUACAGUGGCAUGGACGGUGCAGCGUACGUGCCAUUGUCGAUCUUCUGGCAGGUGCCGCAGUACGUGGUGUUGGGCGCGGCGGAGGUGGGCAGAUGGAGUUCUUCUACGACCAAGCACCAGACGCCAUGCGGAGCAUCUGCUCGGGGCUCGCCCGUGCGGCUUUCGCGCUGGGCAACUACGCGAGCUCGGCGCUCGUGUCCGUCGUGGUGA
rnacentral:rRNA from 1 species